AAAAACAGAGAUUUCUAUGAAAAUAAGCGAUAUUUAAUGUUAAAAACAGGGAUUUCUAUGAAAAUAAGCGAUAUUUAAGGGGAAAAACAGAGAUUUCUAUGAAAAUAAGCGAUAUUUAAGGUUAAAAACAGGGAUUUCUAUGAAAAUAAGCGAUAUUUAAGGGGAAAAACAGGGAUUUCUAUGAAAAUAAGCGAUAUUUAAGGUUAAAAACAGGGAUUUCUGUGAAAAUAAGCGAUAUUUAAGGUUAAAAACAGGGAUUUCUAUGAAAAUAAGCGAUAUUUUAGGUUAAAAACAGGGAUUUCUGUGAAAAUAAGCGAUAUUUUAGGGGAAAAACAGGGAUUUCUGUGAAAAUAAGCGAUAUUUUAGGGGAAAA